rnacentral:rRNA from 1 species
UACGGAGGGGGCAAGCGUUGUUCGGAUUUACUGGGCGUAAAGCGCACGUAGGCGGCUUCGCAAGUCAGAGGUGAAAGCCUGGGGCUCAACCCCAGAACUGCCUUUGAGACUGCGUCGCUCGAAUCCGGGAGAGGUGAGUGGAAUUCCGAGUGUAGAGGUGAAAUUCGUAGAUAUUCGGAAGAACACCAGUGGCGAAGGCGGCUCACUGGACCGGCAUUGACGCUGAGGUGCGAAAGCGUGGGGAGCAAACAGG